rnacentral:lncRNA from 1 species
AUGGAGCGAGCCCCCCUCCCGUACCUGCCCUCCUCCAGGGCACAGACACGCUCCCGCAGCCCCACCGCCCAUGUAAGCCCGGCGGGGGGGCUGCUUGGACCGUGCUUGGUGGGUUGGCGGCCACCCCUCGGGCACUGUGUAGCCAGGGCUGUGCCGUGCGUGGGCUGGAUGCGGCCGUGGGCACGCUGCGCUCCCCUGGGUGCAGCCGGGAGGCGAGGGGGGAGCUCCUGCCCUGCCCGGGGGUCUCAGGCUGCCGCUGCCGUGCUUCUUGCCAAAGCCAGCCUGGGCAGUGGGGUGCACCGUGCUCCUGCACCGCAGGCUGGAGAGGGGCAUUCACCUUGGCUGAGCACACAGGUGAGCAGGGUGCCUGCCUGUGGCUCUCACAGCGGUCCUCCAGCCUUGCCAGCGCUGCUGAGUGUCGUAUCAUGCCUCUGUCAAGCAGGUGUUGUUUUCAGUUUGAGACAUGAUAGGUCUUUGUGGAUUGGCCGUGGGAUUUGUGGAGAUACCUUGGGGACCAAGCGGCCGGUUCGCAUCAGUCGGCCUUGCUGCUCCCAAGACUGUGUCCCGGGCCUGCCCGGUGCUGGCACCUCGAGCUGGGUGCUCAGCAGGCUGCUGCGAGCUCCUCUCCAGAGCAGCUCGUGCUGGGGGAACUCAUCCAGGAGAUAUUUUUGGUGCGGCAGCAUGGCCUGUGCUCAGCUACAGCAAAGAGGAGAGAUCCCUGCCAGUCGCAGCACAGCAGGGUUCUUCUGGAGAGGACCCCACAGGGAAAGCAAAAGUGCACAGAAGCGUGAGCACCUGGGGCUUGGCACUUCUUGCCCUGCAGCUGGCAAGUGUGCAUGGCUUGUGCUGCCGCCUGCCCUCCUGCUCAGUGCACUCCUUGGCUCUGCUGGGGCUGGGGGUGCUCUGCCACACACAUCCCUUCUGCGGGGAGCAGCGCGCUGCUGGCCCCUCUGCCACCACGCACAGUGUCCCCAAAACAUGCAGUGUGCUUCCCGCUGCACAUUGCGUGUGCACAGCUCGCCCCCAAGGUGUGUGCCCCCCCCUCCCAUUUUUCCUGCACGUGUAUUAAUCUGUGAGAUUAGUACAUUAAUUCUGCCAAGGAAUGAACAUCACCUGCUGCUGAGUUUGAUAAAUUCACUGAACCUCGGUGUUGCAGAGGAAAGGCUUAAUGUCCUCCUAGAAAGGCUGAGAGUUAGUCCGUGGUACUAUGAGCCCGCGGUGCCUUGCCAAGCAAAACACUCAGGAUGCUUCCUAGGGGAUUUUUAA